ensembl:lncRNA
UGCACCACCGGCCGUUUCUAUGGUUUGCAUUGGUGAGUCAGGCAUGGCAGUUCAGGUUACUGCCCUUUAGGCUGUCCCUGUCCCUCGUGUCUUUACAAAGAUCAUGGAGGGCGCCCUUGCCCUGUUAUGGUGGACAUCAGGAUCCUCAACUACCUUGACAACUGGCUCAGCUCUGAGCAGCUCUGCUACGGAAAAAGGGAAGGCUGUCUCCAAGCAGAGGUUGGCCCAAUGGAUGGUGGAUGCCAUCGCCUUGGCCUACCAAUCCCAAGGUGAGCCGUGCCCCCUGGGGGUGAGGGCUCACUCAACAUGGAGUGUUGCCUCCUCCUAUGCGCUGGUGUACUCGCCUUUUGGUUCCUGCAGGCGCCAAGGUCAGUGAAAUUGUGCUGGGGCGCAAUGCUUCCUUUGAGUAGCAUUUGUCUGACAUGCGGCUGCUUGUCAACAUUUGUAGUGCUACAGUGUUGUGACGGGGAUCAGGUUGUGGUGCUUUCCAUUGACCCCCAUGUUGUCACGACAUAACUUUGUAGUGACCGAUCGAUAAGGAAUGUCUCUGUUACGUACGUAACCCUCGAUCCCUGAUGGAGGGAAUGGAGACGUUAUGUCCCCAUGCCACAACCUCGAACCAUCGCUGGUUGCCAGGGACAAGUUCUCGGCUCCUCAGCAUAAAACUUGAAGAGUGGAUGCAUCUGUCGCUCAGGAAUGCAAAAUCCGCUUCCCAAAUUUCAUUGGUGUUUUCUCUUAAAGUCAGAGAGGAUUGGGGCUCCCAAGUGAACCCUGUAUGCUGUCACGACAUAAUGUCUCUCCAUCAGGGAACGAGGGUUACUAACGUAACUGAGAUGUUUUACUGUAUGAGCAAAAUAACACAUUUCUCAGAAUAUCUUCUUUUAUGUUCCACAGAAUACAGAAAGUCCGAACAGCUUUGGAACAACAUGAGGAAAGAGCCCAAUGUGCUGCACCCUCAAGUCUCUAUGAUGUUCUGAUCUCUAGAUAGCACAUGAGUCAACCCUUCAUUAGCUGAAAUCGCUACCAGAUGUGGAUGCAAUCUGUCCCUGUUGCCAUGGCGACGGCUGGGUUGUGAACAGGCGUGUAGCCGCGGGUCGGUUGUGGACUCUGAUGGUCCUGUCGCUUGAUUGUGCUCCAGGUUUUGGAGAGGUAUGUUUAGACUGGCACUCCAUUUGUCAUAUAGCCUCUUCUGAAAUAUCAGUUUGUCUGUCUGGUCGCGGAUGACAGUCAUAAACCAUAUCUUUUUUGAAAGCCAUAAGCCUUGUUUUGUGAAUACUUUCUGGAAUACACUUUUUUUCCUGGAAGAAUCACAGCCUAAAUUACUUUUCCAGCGCUGGAGUGCUGUUUCAGUUGUCUCGUACCUCUACUGUACUGUGAUUUUGGAGUUAGGUUGUGUGUAUUUGCAUUACUGUAAUCUAGACAAUAUAAUGGUAGAUUACUUAAAUGGUUAAAUUUUUAUAAUUAAUGGCAGUAUUUUUAUAAUUCCUUUAGAAUUCAAGUUGAUUUUUUUUAAUAAAAAUUAUUGUAUUUCAGUAUUAUUUAUUUUAUAUAUAUAUAUAUAUAUAUAUAUAUAUAUAUAUAUAUAUAUAUAUAUAUAUAUAUAUAUAUAUAUAAUUUUUUUUUUGGAGAAUAGUGAAAAAUAAUGUGAAAACCUGCUCUGAAGUAAAACAUCUGGAUGUGUUAAUGACAGUUGUUGGGGAAAAGUAAAAUUCCUUUUAUUUAAGCAAAAUAUAAUUUAUUACUUUUGAUUAUUUGUUUUGAUCUCUUUGUAUUUAAUUUGUAUUUAAUGA